UUAAGGGACAGGCGGGAAAGCAGUCCCUUGCUCUGUCAACUUUCUUCCAUGUCGCAGGACCUGUAACUUUGUGUUGCUUCAUGAGAAGGCGCAGUCUAUGUUUGGAUAUUACUUUAAUAAAAACUGAAUUGCUUUCAACCACAAGCCUGGUUCCUGAGUCCCAUCCUGGGCCUGACAGGCAUUGAGCAGUGAAGUGACUGAUCCCAUUCUUUGAGACAGAGUGGUGUCACCCAUGUGGAACAUCAGCUGGAGGUUCCCCCCAGCUCUUUCCUCAAGGAGUGAGACAAAGGGAGGAUGCCUGAUCUCCUUUGGCUGUCCUGAGAAAGAGGAAGAAGAGGAUGGAAGUGAGGUCAGCUCCCUGAGAGUAUCAGUUUACAGUGGAAGGAAAACAGGUAGAGGAACCCAGGGAGUCCUCUCCUAUUCGCCAUCCUGCCAUUUCCAUAAGUUGCUGAAAAUUGAGGACAUCAUGACAAGAAAACACAACCCCUUUGCAACAGAAGAAUGAAACUU